rfam:Felis catus isolate Cinnamon breed Abyssinian chromosome F2, whole genome shotgun sequence.
GCCUGGAUGGCUCAGUCGGUCGAGCGUCUGACUUCAGCUCAGGUCACGAUCUCGCAGUCCGUGAGUUCCAGCCCCAUGUCGGGCU